AAGACUAUACUUUCAGGGAUCAUUUCUAUAGUAUGUUACUAGAAAUGUACUUACCCUAGGACCUUGCAAUUCCUCUCUUUGCAAUAUCUUAAGGA
rnacentral:snoRNA from 1 species